rnacentral:rRNA from 1 species
GAUGAACGCUGGCGGCGUGCCUAAUACAUGCAAGUCGAGCGAACGGACGAGAAGCUUGCUUCUCUGAUGUUAGCGGCGGACGGGUGAGUAACACGUGGAUAACCUACCUAUAAGACUGGGAUAACUUCGGGAAACCGGAGCUAAUACCGGAUAAUAUUUUGAACCGCAUGGUUCAAAAGUGAAAGACGGUCUUGCUGUCACUUAUAGAUGGAUCCGCGCUGCAUUAGCUAGUUGGUAAGGUAACGGCUUACCAAGGCAACGAUGCAUAGCCGACCUGAGAGGGUGAUCGGCCACACUGGGACUGAGACACGGUCCAGACUCCUACGGGAGGCAGCAGUAGGGAAUCUUCCGCAAUGGGCGAAAGCCUGACGGAGCAACGCCGCGUGAGUGAUGAAGGUCUUCGGAUCGUAAAACUCUGUUAUUAGGGACGAACAUAUGUGUAAGUAACUGUGCACAUCUUGACGGUACCUAAUCAGAAAGCCACGGCUAACUACGUG